CCACUACUUGUUUUUGCAUGGCUAGAAGCUUCUCCUUGUCGAAUGCUUUUACGAGUGGCACAUCUAGGUCCUCUUGUUCAUCCAUGCCAAAGGUCUCCUCGUUAUGAGCCAUCUAAUUAGACAAAGAGAGAGGACUUAGAAUAGAGACAAAGUUUUAUAAUAGAUAGGGCAAAAGUAAGCAUAAAUUUUAGCAGUAAUCAAGGUUAAAGGGAUGUAUUUUCUUUCUCUAGAUGAAAUAUCCAAGAACAAGUAUAGCCACUACCACUCUACCAGCACAGAUACCCCUAUUGAGACAGCUAUGACAAUUGUCCCUUUUCUUGAUGGAUUUGUUCUUUGAGCGCGCAGAGGCCCAACAACAAGUUGGUCAUAGCUAAAAUUGAAAAAGACAAGCAGAUCAGUUUUUUUAAAAAAGAAAAGAAAAGAAAAAUUGCCUCUUUGAUAAUCACAUAAAACAGCUACAACAAACUUUGAAGCAUCAAGAAGGAAGCCAAAACCUGAAAACAAGUUGUGGUGUGAUAUUUUUACAAAAAGAUUCUGGAAGCGGGCCACUC
rnacentral:lncRNA from 1 species